AGUAGGACAGUAAGACAGUAGGAGAGUAAGACAGUAAGACAGUAGGACACUAAGACAGUAAGACACUAAGACAGUAAGACAGUAGGAGAGUAAGACAGUAGGACAGUAAGACAGUAGGAGGAGUAAGACAGAAGGAGAGUAAGACAGUAGGAGAGUAAGACAGUAGGACAGUAAGACAGUAGGACAGUAAGACAGUAGGACAGUAGGACAGUAAGACAGUAGGAGAGUAAGACAGUAGGACAGUAAGACAGUACGAGAGUAAGACAGUAGGAGAGUAAGACAGUAGGACGUAAGACAGUAGGAGGGUAAGACAGUAGGAGAGUAAGACAGUAAGAGAGUAAGACAGUAAGACAGUAGGAGGGUAAGACAGUAGGAGAGUAAGACAGUAGGAGAGUAAGACAGUAGGACAGUAGGACAGUAGGACAGUAAGACAGUAG
ensembl:lncRNA